UGAGGAAUAUUGGGCAAUGCCCGCAAGGGUGACCCAGCAACGCCGCGUGGAGGAUGAAUGUCGUAAGAUUGUAAACUCCUGUUAGAGGGGAAGAAUAGUACCGGUUGGACCGGUAUAUGACUGUACCCUCAGAGAAAGCCCCGGCUAACUACGUGCCAGCAGCCGCGGUAAUACGUAGGGGGCAAGCGUUGUCCGGAUUUACUGGGUGUAAAGGGCGCGCAGGCGGGAUAAAAAGUCAGUGGUGAAAUCCUACAGCUUAACUGUAGAACUGCCUUUGAUACUUUUAUUCUUGAGUUCGGGAGAGAGAGACGGAAUUCCAGGUGUAGUGUUGAAAUACGUAGAUAUCUGGAAGAACACCAGUGGCGAAGGCGGUCUCUUGGUCCGACACUGACGCUGAGGCGCGA
rnacentral:rRNA from 1 species